AUUGAACGCUGGCGGCAUGCUUUACACAUGCAAGUCGAACGGUAACAGGCCUUCGGGUGCUGACGAGUGGCGAGCGGGUGAGUAAUGCAUCGGAACGUGCCCAGGGGUGGGGGAGAACGCAGCGAAAGCUGUGCUAAUACCGCAUGUGAUCUGAGGAUGAAAGCGGGGGACCAGGCAGCAAUGUUUGGCCUCGCGCCUUUGGAGCGGGCGAUGUCAGAUUAGGUAGUUGGUGGGGUAAAGGCCUACCAAGCCGACGAUAUGUAGCUGGUCUGAGAGGACGACCAGCCACACUGGGACUGAGACACGGCCCAGACUCCUACGGGAGGCAGCAGUGGGGAAUUUUGGACAAUGGGCGCAAGCCUGAUCCAGCAAUGCCGCGUGCGGGAAGAAGGCCUUCGGGUUGUAAACCGCUUUUGUACGGAACGAAAAGGCUCUGGCUAAUACCUGGGGCUGAUGACGGUACCGUAAGAAUAAGCACCGGCUAACUACGUG
rnacentral:rRNA from 1 species